rnacentral:sRNA from 1 species
UGUUCAGGAUUAAUAAAAUGAACAUGAGUAUCAAUACCACCAGCAGUGACGAUUUUACCUUCAGCGGCAAUGAUAUCUGUUGUUGAACCUAUAAUAAUGUCGACAUUAUCCAUUAUAUCUGGGUUGCCGGCAUUACCUAUGGCGAAAAUAUAACCAUUUUUAAUGCCUAUAUCAGCUUUAACCACUUUAUCGUAAUCGAUAAUAACGGCAUUAGAAAUGACAAGGUCUGCAACGUU